AUGCAGGUCCCGGUACGAAGGGACGUGAUAAUGCUUCGCCGCGUCUACGGCGACGACGCCGCCACGGCAAGCGUGGUACGGAGCCUCCUCGCCCCGGUCGCGAACCAGCUCUCCGGGUCCGGGGACACCUCCGACUUCCACCGCCGCCUCGUCCUGGUCCAACUCCGCUCGUUGAAAGGCCCAGAGGACGUGCGCGCCGCGUUCGACGGCGUCGAGGCAGUCGCGAUCUGCAUCCUCCUGAUGAGGGCGGUGGUCGUCUUCGAGACCGAAGCCGGCGCCGCGCGCGCGCUGCAGGACCCCGCCAAGGAGGCGAUCGGACCCUGCACGGCGGUCCCGUCUCUAGACUUGGCAGCCGGAUGCCAUUUCAUCCCCUACAAAAUAAUCGAGGUGUCGGCUCCCGCGGGGGCAUCCGGCGUGCCGCCACCGCCGGAGCCAAGCAUGGAGGAUCGCGCUCGGGCGUUUCAGGAGAUGUGUGAGCUGAAGCCGAUGAUCGACUACGAUGGCCCAGCUGAGUGGAAGACCUGUAGGCCUGGCAUGACGACCAUCACGCAGUUCGCGCCGUCGGCGGAUUCGUUGGUCCACGGCCCGACGCUUGGAGGCGGCGGCUAUCUGUGGAUGCAUGGCAGGAUGGUCACGUACUACCAUGCGGAGCCCGGCAAGCCGUGCGGCAGCGAAUUCAACAAUGUGUCGAUACGGGUCAAGCAAGAAGAAACACACCCAACCAAGAUACGUGUCACGCCUCUCGAACCGCUCGUUUACGUUAAUCAGUUCGGGCACCUAUUUUGUGUUACUCCGACGGAAGGAUCAAGAUUCCCCAAAUGGUUCCUUUUCUAUCUACAUGAAAUUCGACGAUUUCGUUGGCCCAAACGGGCAUGCGCGGGGAGUGGGAGGUGCGUGUUCCGCGUCUUCAUGCCACGCGGGUCGCAGAAAAGGAGGUCCCCAUCGAGCUUUUGUCAUACUAAUAGUCGGGCUGGACCAAGCGAGCAGUGGCCCUUUAGAUUUGAGGAGGCAUGGACCCGACAUGAUCAAUACGAGACAAUGAUUGCUGAAGCCUGGGAGGCUGCAAACUUGGGAGGCGAAGUUCUUACGGCGAAAAAACCUCACCUCAAAGGUCUGGAUGGGCUUGACGGGAGCAUCCUGGGCUUCGUGGCUAGGGCCCUUAUAUAUAUCCACCUCCUUAGGGCUUUCGUUCUUGAACCAACCAGAAAAACGGUCUUCUUCUCCAAUUCGCCCCUUUCCCUGCUUCGCCGUGCGCGUUGUCUUCUCCGGGCAAGCUCGCCGGUGUGCCUUCUCCAACUAAGCUGCACCUCCUGGCAGCGGGAGAAAAAUGGAUCCUCCGCAUCCCCGAUUCAAGGUUCCUGCUCCCUUUCUCCUCAACUGACUAAACACUUCCCGAAGACGGCUUUCUUGAAAAUCUUGACGGUUCUUGAUCUUGAAUUCUCGCCGGCGACGAUGGCCGGUGAUGACGCUUUCUUGAAAAUCUGGACCGUUCUUGAUCUUGAAUUCUCGCCGGCGACGAUGGCCGGUGACGUUUGCUGCUUCUCUUUUGGUUUCUCUCUCUCAUCUGGACUUCUAAUUGACGAGGAUCCCCAUGACGCUUUGUUGAAAAUCUCGAUGGUUCUUGAUCUUGAAUUCUCGCCGGCGACGAUGGCCGGCGACACGUUUGCUUCUUCUCUUUCGGUUCGGAUCGUGAGGAAUCUCGUCAGUCUCGCAUUGGACGUAUCUCCAGAGCUCGCGGACGAUCCCGACCUGCUUGAGCGGGCGGUGCUUCUGAAGGGCGUGACGAGGCACACGAGCCCGAGCGAUCUUGCCAAGUUGUUCAUCCCACUCGAGACGGACGCGGCAGUUGUCCUCCGUGAUUGCGAGACCGGCGACUGCGCCGGCCUGGUGGUGCUCGCCAACCCCGGCGACUGCGAAAAGGCCAUCAAUAUGCAGGUGCCGCGCACGAAGAUCGUGAAGCUGCCGGGCGGAGAAACUGAUUGUGAUCCGGCCUCCGACGUGCUCUACUACAGGGAGUGCCUAAGCGUCAGCUUUCGACAAGGAGAGGUCGACAACCUCGAGGGGAGAGCAUUAGCCGGGCAGCAUGUGCUCGUUGAUGCCAUCGACGAUCACAUCAGGAGGAGAGCGACGAACAGGGGUCUCCUUCGUCCUCUGCUUCCACUCGUCUACAUUGAGGAGGAUCCUUUCGUCCACCUGCGCUGCCUCUUCAUCAGAGCGCCGAGGAUCUCGGGAGGUGCCGGCGGGGUGAGCAGAUUGGAGGCGAAGCUGGGGGCCAGAGGAGGAGUCUGUGCCACAGUCGCCUGCGAGGCGAGGUCGAUCGCCCUCUUGGUGUACGACCACACUGACACUGCCGAAGCUGUGGCCAGGAGCUUGGUCCCGAGCAGUGUGCAGCUGUAUGACUCGUCCAUGUUCCCAUUCGCCGUUGUCACUGCUGGAGCAGCUGCAGCUGCCGGAGAGGAGCUGGGAGUAGGAGGUAUGAUCCCCCCCUUCUUUACUCGGCCAGAGUACAUGGGGCGCAUUGUUCAGAUGCGAGGACUCGACACGCAGCACUGCGACGCUCGCGAGGUGGCCAGCUCCAUCCACGGCCAGGACGACGGCGACUUGGAGGCUUUGAUCAUCUACAGGCAGCAGGGGCUAGUGAUCGCUGUGUUCGGCACCACGCAAGGUGCUCGUCUGCAGGCCCUCGAGUCAGACGAUAACUGGAUCAGCAUCUUCGGCCGGAAGGUGACCUGCGAGCUCGUCUGCGACCCCGCGCUCUUCACCGGUCCUCCAGCUCCGGCGCCACCAGACGAGCUGCUCCCAGUCCGAGCUGCACCUUACUCAGGCAUGCAUCCGAUGGCGAUUCAGGCAGUGCACGACCUAUACGAGGAGGAGAGGAAGGUCUGUGCUCCUGAUGAUGUCCACGCCAUUGCCGGUGUGCUUCUCAAGUUCGCUGCUCUUUCCCAGCCCGACCUUCUCCGGCUCAGCAGUUUUCCGGACAGGGCCGUGCUUCUACUGGGGAUUCAUCCGGCCAGAAACUGGGAUUACUUUGUGGCGGCUAUGAGCACGUAUGGUGGCCUUGAGGAGCUGGUCCUCUGUCCGCCCAGCAGCGCUGCUCUGGUUAUUUUCAAGUCCUGGAGCUCGGCGUCCAAGGUUUGUUGGGAGACUACAGCCAGGUGCUUGAGCUUGGGCUUCAUCGAGGGUCGGCCCGUGCCGGGAUGGGAGCGUGCUGCUCGGAUCGCCGACGAGGUACACGCACUGCUACUCCGCGUCGACGCGGCCGUCAGGAUGUGA
rnacentral:rRNA from 1 species